GACGAACGCUGGCGGCGUGCCUAAUACAUGCAAGUAGAACGCUGAAGGAGGAGCUUGCUUCUCUGGAUGAGUUGCGAACGGGUGAGUAACGCGUAGGUAACCUGCCUGGUAGCGGGGGAUAACUAUUGGAAACGAUAGCUAAUACCGCAUAACAGUAGAUAUCGCAUGAUAUCUACUUGAAAGGUGCAAUUGCAUCACUACCAGAUGGACCUGCGUUGUAUUAGCUAGUUGGUGAGGUAACGGCUCACCAAGGCGACGAUACAUAGCCGACCUGGGAGGGUGAUCGGCCCAACUGGGACUGGGACACGGCCCAGACUCCUACGGGAGGCAGCAGUAGGGAAUCUUCGGCAAUGGACGGAAGUCUGACCGAGCAACGCCGCGUGAGUGAAGAAGGUUUUCGGAUCGUAAAGCUCUGUUGUAAGAGAAGAACGAGUGUGAGAGUGGAAAGUUCACACUGUGACGGUAUCUUACCAGAAAGGGACGGCUAACUACGUG
rnacentral:rRNA from 1 species